AACGUAGGACGCAAGCGUUAUCCGGAGUUACUGGGCGUAAAGCGUGCGCAGGCGGCUUUGCAAGACAGAUGUGAAAUCCCCGGGCUCAACCUGGGAACUGCAUUUGUGACUGCAUGGCUAGAGUGCGGCAGAGGGGGAUGGAAUUCCGCGUGUAGCAGUGAAAUGCGUAGAUAUGCGGAGGAACACCGAUGGCGAAGGCAAUCCCCUGGACCUGUACUGACGCUCAUGCACGAAAGCGUGGGGAGCAAACAGG
rnacentral:rRNA from 1 species